UUUUUUGUUUUUUUUUUUUCUUUUUUCUUUUUUUUUCUUUUUUGGUUUUUCGAGACAGGGUUUCUCUGUGUAGCCCUGGAUGUCCUGGAACUCACUCUGUAGACCAGGCUGGCCUCGAACUCAGAAAUUCACCUGCCUCUGCCUCCCAAGUGCUGGUAUUAAAGGUGUGCGCCACUACGCCCGCCCGGCUCCCUCACUAGUUUCAAAUUGCAGGGCUGACAGAAGAAAGCCAGCCCAAAGGCCCUGUCCUUGUCCCUGUUCUGCCAUCAGCCCGCUCAUGAGCCUGUUUGCUGGUUUGCACAAUAGGGUUAGUGACAGCACCGUCCCAAGCUGUAGAGGACAGAAGGCAGAGCAUCUCUGCAGCACGGGCGCUUUCUUCCAUGUCAGUGCCCUUGGAAAGUACUUCACAGCUUUCUAGGCGCCCGCACACCACCUAUGGCUGUGAGCAGGCUUUGUCAUGACUGCUUAGGCAGGGAGGAGGGAUUAGUUAAUUUUAAAACCUUCUUGCUACCUUGUUUCAUUUGCUUAGGGUGUGGGAUGCCCUGCUGGUCUCUGAAGUCCCAUCUCCUGUUGGGGCUGUGCCUGGCUCCUGGGAUGGGUGUGGGGCAGGGACUGCGCUGCCUGGGGACAGGAACUUCUUCAGACACUAGGAAGUGCAAAGUGUGUCAGCUGCAUAGACCCAGGUUUGAACCCUAGCUGUGUGAUUCCUGCUGAAUGCCUUUGUACCUUUGCUUCCUAGUGUGCAGAGCAGGGCAGGAGUUCCCAUCAUUCCUCCUGUUGUGUGUAACUCCAUCUCUCUCAACUCUUUUCUCCAUCAUGAGAGGGGCACAGGCACAGGCGAUGACUUUGAUGACAGGGUCUCCCUUCAAAUGUCCACUCUGCAUCAAAGUUUGUCCUGGUAUUGAGGCCAGGACAGUCCCUCUGACCUGUACCUCACCAGUACAGACUACAGUCUAUUCCAUUGACCAGGCUAGACCCUUGGAGUAAGGGGUAGCAUUGGCACUCACCAACUCUCAGGUCUUUCUGACUGCUCCUUAUAAAAAUAUCUUUUGUUUGUUUGGUUGGUUGGUUUUGGUUUUUUCGAGACAGGGUUUCUCUGUGUAGCCCUGGCUGUCCUGGAACUCACUCUGUAAACCAGGAUGGCCUUGAACUCAGAAAUUCACCUGCCUCUGCCUCCCAAGUGCUGGUAUUAAAGGCGUGUGCCACCACUGCCUGGCUAUAAAAAUAUCUUUUAUUCUUCUGAGACUGAUUGCUGAAUACACUCACCCUUUCUAGUUCUUUCUGAGCUCUGGCUGACUGGUUCACCUCAGCUGUUAUGGCUCAAAACCCCUCUCCAAGUUGACUGAUUCAAUCUGCCUGCUUUCAGAUUUUCAUUCAAUUCUGCUGCUUGGCCUCAAACUAACUCUAGCAAUCUGUUCUAAUCUUCUGACUCCUUCUCAUUCUCUGGCUCGUUCUGUCCUCACCUGUAUCUAGCUUGUUCUCCCUCUCUCUGCAGUCUCUCUCUUUACAACUGUCCAGAUAAAACUGUGUCUUCUCUCUCCUGCACUGCCCCUCAAGUAGCUUCCCUAUCCCUCUCUUCUUCUGAGAGUUGGGCGUAUCCUAUUCUGUCAAAUCCUUCUCUGAUUUGUCAGUUUGUCUGCCACUCAACUAGACAUACCUUUCAAACAUGGUUGCUCCCUCUACAAACUAACUUUACCUUUAUUGUUCGAGAUAAAAAGUGUACUGUGUGUCUGUAUUCUAGCCGGAGGCAUUAAAGGUAUGUGCUGAGGGCUGAGCCAUACCACAAGUAGAAAACAGAUUUUUUUUUUCAGAAGUCUCAGGGUUCACAGUGUGACCAGGUAUCUUGGAACAGUCCCUCUGUUCCAGGAUCCAGGGGUAUCUCUGUGUCUCAUGUUGGAGCUCGGCCACAGUGCCAAGGAGGAGCGUUCCCAGGCCCAGAGAAGGGGCACAGGCCAGUAUCAUAAGACCCUGGCUAGUCCCUGGGCUUAAACAGAAGUGGCUUUUCUGUCCCCACUCUGCUGUUCACAGUGUUUACCCUGCAGAGUUCAGUAUGUUCCUGCUUGUCGCUCUAUGGUGCCCAGGUCAGGCCUGCUAGAGGGAGAAACCAACACAGAAACCCAGGGAGCUUUCCCAAGUCACAUGAGGCCACAGCAGGAGAAACUUGUAAUCUGUGAGCUGGGCACAUCCAGAAAGGGCAUAUUGCUGCUCAUCCCUCAGAGAUGUCCCCAGUCAUUGCCAGUUGGUCCCCUUGAGAUGAUAUAGAUGGGCUCGGGCCAAGACAACUCCAGGGGGCCUCUGGCCUCAGCAUCAAAGUAGAUUCCUUUAGUUGCCACACCUAGGGCUCCAACAGGCCUCUGCAGGGAUGGGCCUUUCUGGUUACCCAUGCCCACAGUUGCCCCGAGAACACUAACAGCUGGAGGUGAUGGCAGGGCUGCUGCCUGUCCAACCCAGGGGACUUGCAUAUGGCCCUGCACAACCAAGCCUGCAGACCACGAUUUGAUGUAAUCUCCCGUUUGCAGACUGGGAGCAUUUAGGGGCUCUCAAGUAGGCCUUGCUAGGGCAGGACCAAGACAUGGCUGUCUCUCCUUCACUCCUAUCUCUGUGGGGAGGAAGCGAGCAGAGGUUCUGGAAUCCACCUGUCUACCUCAUCUUGGAGUCUCAUCGGCCUUCUAGGCCCCCUCCCAGUGACCCUGUCUCCCUGCUGUCCCCUGGCUGGGUCUCACACUUUGGGCUUUUUGAGCCCAGUAUCAUCUGUCCAUUGUGUGGUUGCUGUCCAGUAUGCAGGUUGAGACCUUUCUGCCACCUUGCAGUUGUGUCUGACCUGUCACUUACUCUUACAAUGACCUUGUAACAUGGCUAGGGCAGAAUCUGUCCCAUAAAGUGUGAGUGACCUUCCCAAGGUCAGGGAACUAUUCAAGAAUAGGGUUUGGAAUUAAAAUCACUUUCCUAACCAAUUUUUACUGGGCACCUUCAUUGAGUACCACUGCUAACAAGCCCUGGGGAACCUCUUUGAACAAGGCCAGGACCUGAGCUCAAAGGCAAACACGUGGCCAAAGGAUGGGCUUAUAGUAAUAGCCAAGAGCAUGGUUGGCACAUGGUGCCCAGGGGCCAGGAAAGGAUAGAGAUGUGCUCCCCAGACAGAUGGGUCUGCACGGAGGACUCUAGGCCCGUGGGGACACCAGGGCUUGGCUCCUGUGUAUAGCCUGACCAAGCCUGUUCUGCCCUGCUGUCUCCUCCUGUACAUGGAAGAGGACAAUCCAGACUCUUGUUGUCAUUUUCCAGCGGUUUCUCCAUCACCCUGGGAGACGUGUUAAAAUCACUGAACAUCCCUUGGAGGUGUGAUUCAGAGAGCCUGGGAGGGAAAGGCAAGAGUCUGAUUUUUUUUUUUAAACUGCAUUUAUCUGGUUGUUUGUAUGUGGGUGGAGGGCAUGAGUGUACUUCUGUAUGCUUGUGGAGGUCAGAAGACAACCUGUGGGAGCCUGUCUGUUCUUCCCUUUCACCUUGUGAGUUCUAGGUUUGGCUGCUCAACCAUCUCACCAACCCAGGAGUCUGGAUUCUAAAGAGGCUCAUUAGAAGCCAGGGGAUGAUGGUACACACCUUUAAUCCCAGCAGUCAGAAGGCAGAGGCUGGCAGAACUCUGAGUUCGAGGACAGCCUGGUCUACAGAGCCCAUUCCAGGACAGCCAGGGCUACACAGAAAAAGGCUGUCUUGAAAAACAAAACAAAACAAAACAAAACAAAAGAGAGGCUCAUUAGAUACACUAGAUAUUUCUAAAUUCUCUGGUCUGAGCAGUGCCAGACUCAGCUAUCUUGCAACCCUAUGAGCCUCUGUGGUAGCCCCCCCCCCCCCGGUUUGUCUUCCUCCCAGAGAUUCAGGUCCCACCUGACAACUGCUGAAUGAGGCCAGGGACUCCCAAGACCAUCAUUCUCAUUGGUGGCAGUCAGCCUUGCAUCCUGAGGUCUUUCCUGCAAGCCUGGCUCUCAGGUUCUUACUCCUGGCCCAUCUGUGGGCUUAAGGGAAGCGUGACCACAAUUGUGCAGUUCCCAGAGCAUUAAUAACCACAGGCCCUGGAUACCAGGCCACGCCUACUGCUGAGCUUGGACUGUUAAGAGACAGCUGGGACGCUCUUGCUCUACUCUCCUUACCCUGUUUUGAAGUGCUGCCUCCUGCCCAGCCCCGACAGAAGCUACUCCUUCUUGGGCUGGCUAAUGCCAGCCUCAGAUGUAGCUCUGAUAUUCUGAUAUUGAGCUGCAGGACUUGGCACCUGUGAUUGCAUUUGUCAUGUGCAAGAGCCCAGGCCUGUUUCAGAUGAGGUACACCAUACAUCUCUUAGCACCGAGGGGUGACAAUGCCCUCUAUAUAUCUUUGCAUGUGCUGAGCUGGGUUAGGGAGGAACCAGAUACAGUUCAGGGUUCGUCUGUGUCAGAAUGUCUCCAUGUUUAAGGCUGAGUGAUACUUCCUUGCAUGGAUAGACAUCUCUUUACUCACCCAUGGAGUUUCUAGAGAGCCUGGUU
rnacentral:lncRNA from 1 species